GAUGAACGCUAGCUACAGGCUUAACACAUGCAAGUCGAGGGGAAACGAUAUUGGAAGCUUGCUUCCGAUAGGCGUCGACCGGCGCACGGGUGAGUAACGCGUAUCCAACCUGCCCAUCACUUGGGGAUAACCUUGCGAAAGUAAGACUAAUACCCAAUGAUAUCUCUAGAAGACAUCUGAAGGAGAUUAAAGAUUUAUCGGUGAUGGAUGGGGAUGCGUCUGAUUAGCUUGUUGGCGGGGUAACGGCCCACCAAGGCGACGAUCAGUAGGGGGUCUGAGAGGAAGGUCCCCCACAUUGGAACUGAGACACGGUCCAAACUCCUACGGGAGGCAGCAGUGAGGAAUAUUGGUCAAUGGGCGAGAGCCUGAACCAGCCAAGUGGCGUGCAGGAUGACGGCCCUAUGGGUUGUAAACUGCCUUUAUAAGGGAAUAAAGUGAGUCUCGUGAGACUUUUUGCAUGUACCUUAUGAAUAAGGACCGGCUAAUUCCGUGCCAGCCGCCGCAGUAA
rnacentral:rRNA from 1 species